rnacentral:lncRNA from 1 species
AUUUAAACUAGUUGUAUUUCUUUAAACUACUAUAUUACAAGUAUCUAAGAUACUCUUGACUUGUAUAUUCAGUUUAGAGUGUUCCAACCUAACUCAGUUAACUGUUAAAUUUUAUUUGGGGGUUUUGACCAACUUUAUUUCUUACUUGGAUUAUUAUAGGAACUUCUUAACUAAUAGUACCUGUAUUUUGGAUCUCCUGCUUUUGGAUCUUCCCAGAGUCCACUGUUAAGUUUUUUACCUAAACUAUACAUCUAGCUGUGUCACUUGUGUACCACUUAACUUUCCUAGCUCAGAAAUCGGUAAUCACCCUUUAAUACCUACAGAAUACAGCACAACUUGUUUCCAUCAUGUAUAUUAUCCUCUGUGAUUCUGUUCAUCCUGUGUUCUAGCCAUACUCGAAUUCUUAGCAUUUCUCAAACAUGCUGACUUUGUUUAUUUUAUUCUUUAAAUUCAACCAGUUAAAAUUACAUUUCAGCUUUGUGGGAAUAUCAUCCCUUUUACCAAUCAAAAUGGAUUUUUCUUUGUUUCUACAGGGUUUGUAUUAUAACACUGUAGCAGUACUUACACG